GCAUCAUUUUUGUAUUUUCUCUAUUGGAAAAUGAUAUUUUUGGAUUAUUGUCUUGAUUACUGUCUUGAUUACAUGGAGAUUUAGGAGAAUUGAUAAACUUUCUUGUGUUGAUAGGUUGUACCAUUUUUUAUCAAAAGAUGAAAAACAUAAAGAGAAUGAAGGGAGAAGAGUGUGGGUGUAGAGGGGAAGAAAUAUGAGGAGAGAGAAAUAAGAAAGGGUAAGAAAAAUAAGAGGGAGAGGGUUAGGGCACCAGAAGAACUAAAGAGUUAAUAAAACUAAAUUACAGAGACUAACUA
rnacentral:misc_RNA from 1 species